UACGUAGGGUGCAAGCGUUAAUCGGAAUUACUGGGCGUAAAGCGUGCGCAGGCGGUUAUGUAAGACAGGUGUGAAAUCCCAGGGCUUAACCUUGGAACUGCAUUUGUGACUGCAUAGCUAGAGUACGGUAGAGGGGGAUGGAAUUCCGCGUGUAACAGUGAAAUGCGUAGAUAUGCGGAGGAACACCGAUGGCGAAGGCAAUCCCCUGGACCUGUACUGACGCUCAUGCACGAAAGCGUGGGGAGCAAACAGG
rnacentral:rRNA from 1 species